CUGAGUCACGUGAUCACCGACUGCAGACGUCGGAGCUGCAGUUCCUUCUCGCCCUCCAGUUUGAUGCUGCCACUGACUGCGGAGCUUAGCGAGGCUCACUCAGUUCCUGGCACCCCGAAGGCUUCCUUGGUGUCCAAAGAGCCCUGAACCCAUGUGAGUUUCCUCUGCUGCCUAGAGACACAAGAACUAAGGUACUCCAGCGAGACUGCGGCGGGCCAGUCUGAUGGAGGAGGAAGAGGAUUGAGACUGUUCCUGGCAUGGACAAUGCCGGUCCCUUCAGAGGAGGUGGGCUUUCAACUGACAUCCAAGUGCAGGACAGCAGCAAGUGAGAGGAGAUCCUGACCUGCCUCCAAGAGCCCCAAACACCCAGGAUCCAGGAUAAAACAUCAGAAACACUGGAAUAAGAUAGUACACCAUCUUUAAGCCACUGAGGGUCACUGAAUAGCAGCCAUGUUUGAGGGCCUUGGGGGCAACAUCCAAACGCAUGAAGCUCGCAAGGCUAACAUCCUUGGGCCUAUCACUGUAUACUCCACCUGUCGGACCUUCUGAGCCACCUUCUCUUUCCCUCCUAGGACCUUUGUGGGUCCAAAACGUUCACCUACUAUUUGUAGAAAUCACAGAUUACACUAGCCUCUUGCCCCACAGUAAGAACCACAACCCUCCUCCCAGCCUUGUUUUACCUCUAAAACCCUUUUACUCCUGCUCAGAAGCAGUGGAGACCCUCUGCUCUCCUGGGCCUGGGCUUUUAGACCAAGCACUUGCAGUUCCCGUCUCACCCUCUUUGAAGAUGGGAGCUCUCUCAUGGACAGAUCAGGAAACUGCCAAAAGCCUAUGCAGUGGUGAUCCCAGGUAAUUCCAACAGUCUUUGAACAGCUGAUGAAAACAAAAAUAUCUACCAACGGGAGAGUUCCUUCUGUCCCAGGUGAUGGUGUUCCACCUGACACUGGUGGACCAAAGGGACCUAUGCACCACCCUAGAGGAACCUCCCUUGAUGUGGGAUGCCCAUCUAUAUGCUGUGAAUAUGUAUUAUUACCAUGGCCAUUUGUUAAGAAAGCUGUUUUGGCCAAUAGCCAGGCAGAAUAGAUUCAGGUGGGAAAUCCAAGGAGAAUUAUAGGGAAAAAGAAGGUGGAGUCAGGGAGACCCCAUCGAUCACCCCAGGAACACCAUGCCAGAGCAUUUCUGCUGAGCCAUGGGUACGUGGUGAUACACAGAUUAAUAGAAACGGGUGAAUGUAAAUGUAAAAGUGAGCAGGUAGUAAGUCUGCCAUGGCCAAUCAGUUUGUAAUUAAUAUUAAGCCUCAGAGUGGUUAUGGGGGAACUGGUGGGUGGGAGAAAAAAAAAAACCCAGUUACACUCCCUUCAUGGCAGUACCUGUGUGAACCCCUUUAGAGGCUGUAUUUAUACCACCAGUUCAGUGGUGGAAUCCUCUGGAUCAGGAUUUCCCUUUUCCCAGACUGCCUAGACUCCCAGUUUUCCUUUUGCUAUUCAGGUUCGCUCCCAUUCUCCAAAGUCACUAAUUCACCAAUAACAGUCAUUUGUGCACCCCUGGGAGGGUUCUGGUGUAAGGGGAGCCUGCCCAAAAAUCUCUCAUCUACAUCUCUGCCCACCUCUCUGUGCCAGCCCCAGUCUCUCUGCCUGCCUGUGGAUCGGGAUACAAGAUCUCAUCUUCUAGACACAAAGGCCUCCGCAAAUACAGCAGUGCAUAAUAGGUGCCUAUGUGUCACCCUCCAAACACUGCUCAACAUCCGGUCCCUGGGCCACCAUCCCACAUAGGCUAUCAGGAUAUAGUUCUCAGGUCAAGCUGAAUAUGACCUCCACCUCCACAGCGAGUGCACAUCCAGUGCUCUGUAUCCAAUCCAGCUGGACACGAACACGCCUCCAUCACACAUAGUACAGUAGGGAUCACUGUACCAUCCCAGCUCCUACUUCAGGUCAACGUACUUGGGUAGUUUUGAGGCACUUCUGGAAUGCAAGUCACUGCCACAUAUCAAACAGAGCCUUCCACAUCACAAUGCAUGCAUGCCAGCACCAGAAUGUAUAUCUAGGAGUGUGUGAGGGGUAGCUGGGGACAACAGUAGGUGCUGAUUUGUAGCAGGGGACAUGGGGCAGCAGGGAGGUUCCUGUGGGGCACGGGCAUAUCCAGCAGGGCCUGGUGCCUUACAUUGUUGAUGCACAGCUGCAGGGUGGUUUGUUCAGUGGAAGUUAAUACUUAGUAUGGGGAGUGGUGAUGGUGUGUUUAGCCCUAGUCUUUCUGGUCUUUAGAGACGGCAGGGUGGAGACUCCCAGUAAUAUGUCUCACCUCUUCUCCCUUGUCAGCUAAGUUCUUUCAUCAGACCAAGGCAUUUUUGCAGCCCGGGGCAGUGCCCAAGACCGUCAGAGCUGGAAAUGGCCCAACCUAGACUUUGGAAGAGUUCUGCUCCUAGCCCAACCCUUCAUGCAGCAGGAUGGAGGAUGAGAGGCACCUAUGGACGAGGAAGGAAGAUGGGCAGAGUACAUUUGCCUGAACCAAUUCCUGUGGAGUGAGAACGACAGACAACGCAGAUGGCUUAGAACAGGAAUUUGCUGUCUCCAAGCUCUGAGGUCCUGGGGAUUGGCAGGUCCAAGCUCCUCUAGUGGCCUUGAGGGGGGUCUGCUCCAGUCAACCUCCAGCUUCUGUUUCCUAGGCUGGUGGCAUCAGAGCUCCAGUCUCCUCAGGUCAUCUUCCCUGUGUGAUUCCGUGUCUCAGGCUUCCUGGCCAUAGGGCACGAGGCUGUGCGGGUUUCUCCUAUGGCUUUACAGCUUUCAUGACUUGUUUUAAUUUUUAGACUUACAUCAGAUAUAACCUGUGUGACCUGGAAUUUUUUCACGUGGAUUUUUGUAUUGUUUGCUUUUCUAAUAUUUGUUCUGCAGUCAUUUGUGGACAGACCAUUUUCUCUGCCUUGAUUUCCAUGGUGGCCUCUCACAAAAUUAGUUGACUUGAUUUAGGGGAUCUGUUGCUGGACUCUGUGGUCAGCUCCAUCUGUCUAGCCUCCAUUCUUUCCCCUGAGGACUUUCUGCAUAACUGACUGAGGCUUUUGCGAGUGCUGGGACCUAAGUAUGGGAUCUUCAGGGGCCUUCCAACUUCUACCAACUCUUGCAGGUUUAAGCCUAGUUGCUUGUAGCUACAUUUGAUGUGUUGGGCGUCAGUUUGUCAUUCUUCUGGUCUAUAGAUGAAGUUCAAAUGAUCUGUCACCUUAACUGUGCUGCUGAAGAGCAGGGCUCUGAGAGUCUAUCCCUUUAGAUUCCUUCCAGCCAUGCCUCAGUGUUCUCAACGCCAAUGUAUGUCAACUCUGUUGGAUUUCUACUUUAGGGCUGCAGUAUUGGGGUCUGUGGUAAACUGUAUCUAUGUGGUACCAAAGAGAGAUGGUUCACCUAGAUGACAUGGGAUAGGGGUCCAUGGUCACUGCCCUCCUCAGGAGAUCCAGCUCAGCAGCCAGAAGCAUGAGCCACCUGACUGUGCCAAGGCAAGCACGGCUCAAGGGAAUUGCCUUCUCACACUAAGUGUCCCACGGAGACCUUCCUCCUUCCCAAGGAGAGCCUCCUGCUAAACCUCAGAUCUGGCUCGGGAAACAAGGAUGCCCUGAACCUUAUGUGGGCCCCAGAAAGGUAAAUCGUUUUGUCACUCUCCACAGAGCAUCAUGUUCUAAGACUGGGUGGCAAAAUGAACUGGCUCCCUAGGAGGCCCUACCCACAUCCCUGACACCACAGUUCCUCAGUGACAGCAUUAAGCCACGGGCUACGUGUUAAAACCGCACUUACUGUCUGAAAUUCCCCAUAGCAAGGGCCGUGUACAUGGCAGAGAAUGCCAAGUGUGUGGGAUUCAGGGACUAAAGGCAAAUACAGUGCCUGCCUCCUUCCUAUGUGACCUCUUCAAUGGACACCAGCAGAGAAAGCUCAGGGACUUCUGUCUGCAGGAAUGAGCUUGGCCUGGCUGGACCUCAGCUGGCCAGAACCAGUUCCCCAUCAACAAGAUUGCACCUGGGCCCUCUGCCUUGCUGCUCUCUGCCUGAUGCUUCUCCACCUGAGUCAGGGUAAACACGUGGUCAAAUAAGCUCCCAGGUCACACCCAGCACAGCUGCUGAGCUAACAGCUCUGAAAGCAAAGCACUGGCGUGCACUUUGGAAACUCCGAGGGACCUGGAUGUUGCCACAGCAGACUUUGUUGCUGGGACCAAAUGGCCUGGCUCAUAACUGAAAGAGCAUCCCCAUCAAACAUCCUGUGUCCCAACGAGCAAGUUACUGAGCAUCUCUGAGAGUCAGCUUCCUCCCCUGUGAGGUGGACAUCAGGGCUACUUUGGAAUGGUGUAUGUAAAGAUCCUGGUGCACAGUAGCUUCUGGUGACUGCACACAUCCCCUCCAGCAGCGUGGGUAUUGUGCAGGCAAGUACUGAGGGUGGUGUUGGGUUUGUGGUCCUGCUCAUCAUCUGACUUUCUCCUCUCAUGUUGAAGACUAAAAGCAACACCAUUUAUUAAGCAGAUAGAACAUGAUCAUCCCCACCCCCACAGAGCUAUCCAGCUCCCUCUAUGGUCUUUAGAUAAAGGCUCUUUCAGAAAAGACCACCUAGUUAGUGCUCAAGCUCUUGACUCUCUGGAGCAUCUGUCUAAGGGCUAACAGGACAUAGCUGCCACCUUCUCCUUGCCCAGGCCCUGACUUUACUGGGGUGUGGUUGGCCCAAGGGCCUAGCUCAGUAGUUAUCCAAUGACGUGGACUCAUUCUGGCCCCACGAGCAAGCUCAGGGCCAGGCAGUGUGAGGCUUUCCUCCUACUCAUGACCCUGAACCCAUUCAGAUGAACUGUCCUGCCAGGGACAGAAUUGCCAGAGGCCACAUCAGAAGAGCAGCAGGGAGCCAUUGACCUCAGAGCAUGGGCCCACCAGGAAGCAAAGCUCUGGUGGAUAAAGCUCUGCUGGGUAAAUCUCCAAUAGGAAAGGCCCGACAACCUCGGCCCAAGCAUGUCUCUUGCUGCUGCUGUGCCUUGGCAUGUGUGCCGCUGCUAUCUUUCUCUGGUGUCUGGCAUGGCAUGAACGGGCAUGGGAAGAUCCCCGCUGCCCUCAAUGUAGUCUUGGAAAUAUCCUAUUCUACUGGGCAUUUUUACCUGUGGAUUAUUGUGAAGGUGUGCCGCGGACCGUCCCUCUCGGAGACCACCACCCACGGGGGACCAGGGUGAAGGAUAGGAUAGUCAGGAUACGACUCUCACCAGGACGCUGCAGGUUCGCCGGUAAAGGAUGACCGGUUAAGUGUGAGUAAUCUAAGUAUAAGGGAACCAUGGGGCAACAUACCAAGGGUGGAGCAUUGGCUAGUAUUAGGCAAAAGAAUGAAGAAUCCUAUCAGGACUUUAUUUCCAGGUUAGAGGAGGCAGUCACCAGAAUGCUGCCUCCUUCGGAAGGAACAGAUAUGUUAUUGAAACAAUUAGCAUGGGAAAAUGCCAAUGCUCCUUGUCAAGAUCUUAUUCGACCUCUAAGAAAGACAGGGACAUUAAAUGAUUUUAUUAACGCAUGUAUGGAUGCCUCACCAGACAUAGUCCUAGAGAUGGCCUAUGCUGAAGGAAUGAAGGGAUAGAAAUUAAGCGCCUAUGUUAAGAAAACCUAUGGAGGAGGUCAAUAGAACCUCUCGGCUCCCACUUGUUAUAAAUGUG